rnacentral:misc_RNA from 1 species
CCAAUAGCGUAUAUUAAAGUUGUUGCAGUUAAAAAGCUCGUAGUUGAAUUUCGGGAUUAGUACGCUGGUCGUGCCUUCGGUAUGUACUGGUGUUACUGGUUCCUACCUUCUGACGAACCGUCAUGUCAUUAAUUUGGUGUGGCGGGAAAUCAGGACUGUUACUUUGAAAAACUUAGAGUGUUUAAAGCAGGCUCGCGCUUGAAUACAUUAGCAUGGAAUAAUGAAAUAUGACGUUCUAUCCUAUUUUGUUGGUUUCUAGGAUUGACGUAAUGAUUAAUAGGUAUAGUUGGGGGCAUUAGUAUUCAAUUGUCAGAGGUGAAAUUCUUGGAUUUAUUGAAGACUAACUACUGCGAAAGCAUUUGCCAAGGAUGUUUUCAUUAAUCAAGAACGAAAGUUAGGGGAUCGAAGACGAUCAGAUACCGUCGUAGUCUUAACCAUAAACUAUGCCGACUAGGAAUCAGACGAUGUUAAUUUUUUAAUGACUCGUUUGGCACCUUACA